GGGUUGUGAGGUUAAGCGACUAAGCGUACACGGUGGAUGCCCUGGCAGUCAGAGGCGAUGAAGGACGUGCUAAUCUGCGAAAAGCGUCGGUAAGGUGAUAUGAACCGUUACAGCCGGCGAUGUCCGAAUGGGGAAACCCAGUGCAAUUCGUUGCACUAUCGUUAACUGAAUACAUAGGUUAACGAGGCGAACCGGGGGAACUGAAACAUCUAAGUACCCCGAGGAAAAGAAAUCAACCGAGAUUCCCCCAGUAGCGGCGAGCGAACGGGGAGCAGCCCGGAGUCUGAAUCAGCUUGUGUGUUAGUGGAAGCGUCUGGAAAGUCGCAGGGUACAGGGUGAUACUCCCGUACACUAAAACACACAGGUUGUGAACUCGAAGAGUAGGGCGGGACACGUGGUAUCCUGUCUGAAUAUGGGGGGACCAUCCUCCAAGGCUAAAUACUCCUGACUGACCGAUAGUGAACCAGUACCGUGAGGGAAAGGCGAAAAGAACCCCGGCGAGGGGAGUGAAAAAGAACCUGAAACCGUGUACGUACAAGCAGUAGGAGCCCACUUGUUGGGUGACUGCGUACCUUUUGUAUAAUGGGUCAGCGACUUAUAUUCUGUAGCAAGGUUAACCGUAUAGGGGAGCCGCAGGGAAACCGAGUCUUAACUGGGCGUUAAGUUGCAGGGUAUAGACCCGAAACCCGGUGAUCUAGCCAUGGGCAGGUUGAAGGUUGGGUAACACUAACUGGAGGACCGAACCGACUAAUGUUGAAAAAUUAGCGGAUGACUUGUGGCUGGGGGUGAAAGGCCAAUCAAACCGGGAGAUAGCUGGUUCUCCCCGAAAGCUAUUUAGGUAGCGCCUCGUGAACUCAUCUUCGGGGGUAGAGCACUGUUUCGGCUAGGGGGUCAUCCCGACUUACCAACCCGAUGCAAACUACGAAUACCGAAGAAUGUUAUCACGGGAGACACACGGCGGGUGCUAACGUCCGUCGUGAAGAGGGAAACAACCCAGACCGCCAGCUAAGGUCCCAAAGUCAUGGUUAAGUGGGAAACGAUGUGGGAAGGCCCAGACAGCCAGGAUGUUGGCUUAGAAGCAGCCAUCAUUUAAAGAAAGCGUAAUAGCUCACUGGUCGAGUCGGCCUGCGCGGAAGAUGUAACGGGGCUAAACCAUGCACCGAAGCUGCGGCAGCGACACUAUGUGUUGUUGGGUAGGGGAGCGUUCUGUAAGCCGUUGAAGGUGGCCUGUGAGGGUUGCUGGAGGUAUCAGAAGUGCGAAUGCUGACAUAAGUAACGAUAAUGCGGGUGAAAAACCCGCACGCCGGAAGACCAAGGGUUCCUGUCCAACGUUAAUCGGGGCAGGGUGAGUCGACCCCUAAGGCGAGGCCGAAAGGCGUAGUCGAUGGGAAACAGGUUAAUAUUCCUGUACUCGGUGUUACUGCGAAGGGGGGACGGAGAAGGCUAUGUUGGCCGGGCGACGGUUGUCCCGGUUUAAGCAUGUAGGCGGAUGUUCCAGGUAAAUCCGGAACGUCACUAACGCUGAGGUGUGAUGACGAGGCACUACGGUGCUGAAGUGACAAAUGCCCUGCUUCCAGGAAAAGCCUCUAAGCAUCAGGUAACAUCAAAUCGUACCCCAAACCGACACAGGUGGUCAGGUAGAGAAUACCAAGGCGCUUGAGAGAACUCGGGUGAAGGAACUAGGCAAAAUGGUGCCGUAACUUCGGGAGAAGGCACGCUGAUGGUAGGUGAAGCGACUUGCUCGUGGAGCUGAAAUCAGUCGAAGAUACCAGCUGGCUGCAACUGUUUAUUAAAAACACAGCACUGUGCAAACACGAAAGUGGACGUAUACGGUGUGACGCCUGCCCGGUGCCGGAAGGUUAAUUGAUGGGGUUAUCCGUAAGGAGAAGCUCUUGAUCGAAGCCCCGGUAAACGGCGGCCGUAACUAUAACGGUCCUAAGGUAGCGAAAUUCCUUGUCGGGUAAGUUCCGACCUGCACGAAUGGCGUAAUGAUGGCCAGGCUGUCUCCACCCGAGACUCAGUGAAAUUGAACUCGCUGUGAAGAUGCAGUGUACCCGCGGCAAGACGGAAAGACCCCGUGAACCUUUACUAUAGCUUGACACUGAACACUGGUCCUUGAUGUGUAGGAUAGGUGGGAGGCUUUGAAGUGUGGACGCCAGUCUGCAUGGAGCCAUCCUUGAAAUACCACCCUUUAAUGGCUGGUGUUCUAACGUGGGCCCCUGAUCGGGGUUGCGGACAGUGUCUGGUGGGUAGUUUGACUGGGGCGGUCUCCUCCUAAAGAGUAACGGAGGAGCACGAAGGUCAGCUAAUCCUGGUCGGACAUCAGGAGGUUAGUGCAAUGGCAUAAGCUGGCUUGACUGCGAGCGUGACGGCGCGAGCAGGUGCGAAAGCAGGUCAUAGUGAUCCGGUGGUUCUGAAUGGAAGGGCCAUCGCUCAACGGAUAAAAGGUACUCCGGGGAUAACAGGCUGAUACCGCCCAAGAGUUCAUAUCGACGGCGGUGUUUGGCACCUCGAUGUCGGCUCAUCACAUCCUGGGGCUGAAGUAGGUCCCAAGGGUAUGGCUGUUCGCCAUUUAAAGUGGUACGCGAGCUGGGUUUAGAACGUCGUGAGACAGUUCGGUCCCUAUCUGCCGUGGGCGCUGGAGAAUUGAGGGGGGCUGCUCCUAGUACGAGAGGACCGGAGUGGACGCAUCACUGGUGUUCGGGUUGUCAUGCCAAUGGCAUUGCCCGGUAGCUAAAUGCGGAAGAGAUAAGUGCUGAAAGCAUCUAAGCACGAAACUUGCCCCGAGAUGAGUUCUCCCUGAC
rnacentral:rRNA from 1 species